rnacentral:rRNA from 1 species
UACGAGGGGUGCAAGCGUUGCUCGGAAUUAUUGGGCGUAAAGGGUUGGUAGGUGGUCUUGUUUGUCUAGGGUGAAAUCCCAUGGCUUAACUGUGGAAGUGCCCUAGAAACGGCAAGACUAGAGUCCUAGAGGGGUUUGUGGAAUUCCCGGUGUAGCGGUGAAAUGCGUAGAGAUCCGGAGGAACACCAGUGGCGAAGGCGGCUGCCUGGGCCUGGCCUGACGCUGAGGCGCGAAAGCGUGGGGAGCGAUCCGG